rnacentral:lncRNA from 10 species
GCAGCGGUAAUCUGCUGUGGUCUUUUUCCACGGUUUGGAAGCUUUAUUUUUUUGCUCUUUGCAAUAAAUAUUGUUGCUGCUAAUUCUUUGAGUCCACACUGCUUUUGUGAGUUGUAGCACUCACCCGAAGGUUUGCAGCUUCACUCCUGAAGCCAGUGAGACCACGAACCCAACGAGAGGAACGAAGAAUUCCAGACGCGCUGCAUUAAGAGCUGUAACACUCACUGCGAAGGUCUGCAGCUUCACUUUUGAAGCCAGCAAGACCACGAACCCAUCAGAAGGAAGAAACUCCAAACACAUCCGAGCAGCAGAAGGAACAAACUCCGGACACGCUGCCUUUAAGAACUGUGACACUCAGAGCGAGGGUCUGCGGCAUCACAUUUGAAGUCAGUGAGACCAAGAACCCACCGAUUCCGGACGCGAGCAGGUUGCUUCAGGGUAUAGACAUUUGGCACAGUACUGCAGCAUAAACCCAUCAAGGUGUAACUGGAUAAUAGAAAAUCGGAUUUCACAACGGAAAUGCACUAAUCCAAACAUCAAACUAUUGGAAAGAAAGAUCAGUCGUCAUUCAUUCUGAGAAAUGUGAGGACAUGAAAUAAGAUCCCAGAUUUUCCCAGGAAACUCUUUCUAGCUUCCAUGGCUUACCCACAUAUGCACUUUGCAAGAUUAAGGAAACCAUGGGGGCCGAGCAUGGUGGUUCACACCUGUAAUCCCAGCACUUUGGAAGGUUGAGGUGAGUGAAUCACUUGAGAUCAGAAGUUCGAGACCAACUUGGCCAACAUGGUGAAACCCUGUGUCUACUUAUAAUACAAAAAUCAGCUGGGCGUCAUGGCACACGCUGUAAUCCCAGCUACUUGGGAGGCUGAGGUGGGAGAAUCAUUUGAACCCAGGAGGCAGAGGUUGCAGUGAGCUGAGAUCGUGCCACUGCAUUCCAGCUUGGGCAACAAAAAACAACCAAACAAACGAAAAACAGAAAAAAACCACCACCACCACCACCAAUGACAAAAAACUGGGCAUUCUUAAAAAUGAGAAAAAAUGAAAUAAUAAAUUAUUUCCUGGUCUAUGGCAUAAUACAUAAUCUGUUAUUGCAAAUGUCUUAGGUAUAUUCAAAAAGAAUGUCUGGGACCUGGUCUAGUGGCUCACACCUAUAAUCCCAGCACUUUGGGAGGCUGAGGCAGGAGGAUUGCUUGAGGCCAGGAGACCAGCCUGGGCAGUAUAGUGAGACACCAUCUCUACAAAAUAUAAAAUCAGCCGGGUGUGGUGGCAUGUGCCUACAAUCGCAGCUAUCUGGGAGGUUGAGGGAGGAGGAUCCCUUGAGCCCAGGGGGUUGAGGCUCUUGUGAGCCGUCCUGAGCCACUGCACUUCAGCCUAUGUGAUAGAGUGAGACCCUGUCUCAAAAAAGGAAAAAGAAAAAAAAAAAUCUAACAGGGUGAUGUCUGUGAAGACAAUGUAAAAAAUAAGAAAACAACAAAAACCAAAAAAACCUAACAAAACAACAAAAAUCCCUUUCAAUUUUUAAUUUUUUUUUUUUUUUUUUUUUUUUUUUUUUUUUUUUUGUGAGGGUCUUUGUUCUGUUGCCUAAGCUUCAGUGCAAUGACCUGAUCAUAGCUCACUGUAGCCGCAAACUCCUGGGCUCAAGUGAUGCUUCUGCCUCCCACUUCAGCCUCCUGAGUGUCUGGGACUACAGGCACAUGCCACUGUGUCCAGCUAAUUUUUAAUUUUUUUUUUAGAGAUGGAGCCUCACAUUGUUGGCCAGGCUGUUGCUGAACUCCUGGCCUCAAGAGAUCCCCUCACCUCAGCCUCCCAAAGGCCUUUAGCCACCGUGCCUGACCCUCUUUUGUUUUAAAAACUGAAAUGCAAUUUUGCCUAAGCGGAAGUCCCUUAUGGUGGAUCCUGGAUGAGCCAGCUGCAGCAGAACAUCUGUUG